GCUGGGUGUGGUGGCGCAUGCCUGUAGUCCCAGCUACUCUGGAGGCUGAGGCAGGAGAAUCACUUGAACCCAGGAGAUGGAGGUUGCAGUGAGCUGAGAUCACACCACUGCACUCCAGCCUGGGCAACAGAGUGAGACUCUGUCUCAG
rnacentral:sRNA from 1 species